rnacentral:rRNA from 1 species
GAUGAACGCUGGCGGCGUGCCUAAUACAUGCAAGUCGAGCGAACAGACGAGGAGCUUGCUCCUCUGACGUUAGCGGCGGACGGGUGAGUCACACGUGGAUAACCUACCUAUAAGACUGGGAUAACUUCGGGAAACCGGAGCUAAUACCGGAUAAUAUAUUGAACCGCAUGGUUCAAUAGUGAAAGACGGUUUUGCUGUCACUUAUAGAUGGAUCCGCGCCGCAUUAGCUAGUUGGUAAGGUAACGGCUUACCAAGGCGACGAUGCGUAGCCGACCUGAGAGGGUGAUCGGCCACACUGGAACUGAGACACGGUCCAGACUCCUACGGGAGGCAGCAGUAGGGAAUCUUCCGCAAUGGGCGAAAGCCUGACGGAGCAACGCCGCGUGAGUGAUGAAGGUCUUCGGAUCGUAAAACUCUGUUAUUAGGGAAGAACAAAUGUGUAAGUAAAUAUGCACGUCUUGACGGUACCUAAUCAGAAAGCCACGGCUAACUACGUG